rnacentral:misc_RNA from 1 species
AGAAAAUGAUGAUCGAGAAAAUGAAGAGGAUAGAAAUAGUGCCGAUGAGUUCUUUGAUGAUUUUAAACAAGAUUCGGGUAUUGCAUCAGCAUCAUCAGACUGAUACUGGGAACAAUUGGACCAUCACGUGACUUAUUUGGAGAGGCGGCUACAUGUUACAUAUUUAUAGGGGAUCACAAAUUUCAUUAAAAAAGAAAUUGACUAGUAGGCUUGCCUUUGCUGGAAAAAGAUUGUGCCAAAUAUUUUUUUUUUCAGUAUUUCCCUUAAAUGUGAAGUGACUAUGAAAAAGUGACAUUUUAUUGAUAUUUUUGAAAUCAAUAAGCAUUCUGUAAUAUUCCGUCCAAUUGCAUCCAGAAAAUUGCCUUUUUUUCAUUGUAAUUUUAUGCUAUUGUCAAUUUUUGUUUCAUUUUGAAUAAAUCCUGUUUGAAU